rnacentral:rRNA from 1 species
UAGAGCGGCGGACGGGUGAGUAACACGUGGACAAUCUGCCCCCCGGCCCGGGAUAGCCCAGGGAAACCUGGAUUAAUACCGGAUGAGACGGGACCCGCGAUGGCGGGACCCGGGAAAGGCGCUGCGGCGCCGCCGGGGGAUGAGUCUGCGUCCCAUUAGCUAGACGGCGGGGUAACGGCCCACCGGUGGCGACGAUGGGUAGCCCGGCCUGAGAGGGUGGACGGCCACAUUGGAACUGAGACACGGUCCAGACUCCUACGGGAGGCAGCAGCUAAGAAUCUUCCGCAAUGGGCGAAAGCCUGACGGAGCCGACGCCGCGUGAACGAAGAAGGCCGUGAAGGUUGUAAAGUUUCUUUUCGGGAGGGGGAACAACCGUGGCAGGGAAUGGCCGCGGGAUGACGUGAAUCCCGGAAUAAGCCCCGGCUAACUACGUGCCAGCAGCCGC